GCGGCAGGCCUAACACAUGCAAGUCGAGCGGUAGAGAGAAGCUUGCUUCUCUUGAGAGCGGCGGACGGGUGAGUAAUGCCUAGGAAUCUGCCUGGUAGUGGGGGAUAACGCUCGGAAACGGACGCUAAUACCGCAUACGUCCUACGGGAGAAAGCAGGGGACCUUCGGGCCUUGCGCUAUCAGAUGAGCCUAGGUCGGAUUAGCUAGUUGGUGAGGUAAUGGCUCACCAAGGCGACGAUCCGUAACUGGUCUGAGAGGAUGAUCAGUCACACUGGAACUGAGACACGGUCCAGACUCCUACGGGAGGCAGCAGUGGGGAAUAUUGGACAAUGGGCGAAAGCCUGAUCCAGCCAUGCCGCGUGUGUGAAGAAGGUCUUCGGAUUGUAAAGCACUUUAAGUUGGGAGGAAGGGCAUUAACCUAAUACGUUAGUGUUUUGACGUUACCGACAGAAUAAGCACCGGCUAACUCUGUGCCAGCAGCCGCGGUAAUACAGAGGGUGCAAGCGUUAAUCGGAAUUACUGGGCGUAAAGCGCGCGUAGGUGGUUUGUUAAGUUGAAUGUGAAAUCCCCGGGCUCAACCUGGGAACUGCAUCCAAAACUGGCAAGCUAGAGUAUGGUAGAGGGUGGUGGAAUUUCCUGUGUAGCGGUGAAAUGCGUAGAUAUAGGAAGGAACACCAGUGGCGAAGGCGACCACCUGGACUGAUACUGACACUGAGGUGCGAAAGCGUGGGGAGCAAAC
rnacentral:rRNA from 1 species